AUUGAACGCUGGCGGCAGGCCUAACACAUGCAAGUCGAGCGGUAGAGAGAAGCUUGCUUCUCUUGAGAGCGGCGGACGGGCGAGUAAUGCCUAGGAAUCUGCCUGGUAGUGGGGGAUAACGUUCGGAAACGGACGCUAAUACCGCAUACGUCCUACGGGAGAAAGCAGGGGACCUUCGGGCCUUGCGCUAUCAGAUGAGCCUAGGUCGGAUUAGCUAGUUGGUGAGGUAAUGGCUCACCAAGGCGACGAUCCGUAACUGGUCUGAGAGGAUGAUCAGUCACACUGGAACUGAGACACGGUCCAGACUCCUACGGGAGGCAGCAGUGGGGAAUAUUGGACAAUGGGCGAAAGCCUGAUCCAGCCAUGCCGCGUGUGUGAGGAAGGUCUUCGGAUUGUAAAGCACUUUAAGUUGGGAGGAAGGGUUGUAGAUUAAUACUCUGCAAUUUUGACGUUACCGACAGAAUAAGCACCGGCUAACUCUGUGCCAGCCGCCGCAGUAA
rnacentral:rRNA from 1 species